GGGCGUAUAAUGCUCAAUGGUUAGAGCUUCUGGACUGCUGCGUCAGAGGUUGCGGGUUCGAGUCCUGCUACGCCUACCA
rnacentral:tRNA from 1 species